AGGGUGUAAACGCUGCAGACUUGGUGUUGGAAGCCCUUUGGGGGCAUUCAGUGCCGGAGAGAAGUUGUUAAGUCUGCUGCUUGGGGAGUACGUCCGCAAGGAUGAAACUUAAAGGAAUUGGCGGGGGGAGCACCGCAACGGGAGGAGCGUGCGGUUUAAUUGGAUUCAACACCGUAAACUCACCAGGGAAGACUGUUACAUGAAGGCCGAGAUGAAGACUCUGCUAGAUUUUCAGAGAGGAGGUGCAUGGCGUCAGUGACU
rnacentral:rRNA from 1 species